rnacentral:misc_RNA from 1 species
GAAAUGCGAUAAGUAAUGUGAAUUGCAGAAUUCAGUGAAUCAUCGAAUCUUUGAACGCACAUUGCGCCCCCUGGUAUUCCGGGGGGCAUGCCUGUUCGAGCGUCAUUUCACCACUCAAGCCUCGCUUGGUAUUGGGCGACGCGGUCCGCCGCGCGCCUCAAAUCGACCGGCUGGGUCUUUCGUCCCCUCAGCGUUGUGGAAACUAUUCGCUAAAGGGUGCCGCGGGAGGCCACGCCGUAAAACAACCCCAUUUUCUAAGGUUGACCUCGGAUCAGGUAGGGAUACCCGCUGAACUUAAG